GAUGAACGCUGGCGGCGUGCUUAACACAUGCAAGUCGAACGGAAAGGCUCCUGCUUGCAGGGGUACUCGAGUGGCGAACGGGUGAGUAACACGUGGGUGAUCUGCCCUGCACUUCGGGAUAAGCCUGGGAAACUGGGUCUAAUACCGGAUAGGACCACAUUUUGGAUGGUGUGGUGGAAAGUUUUUCGGUGUGGGAUGAGCUCGCGGCCUAUCAGCUUGUUGGUGGGGUAAUGGCCUACCAAGGCGUCGACGGGUAGCCGGCCUGAGAGGGUGUACGGCCACAUUGGGACUGAGAUACGGCCCAGACUCCUACGGGAGGCAGCAGUGGGGAAUAUUGCACAAUGGGCGCAAGCCUGAUGCAGCGACGCCGCGUGGGGGAUGACGGCCUUCGGGUUGUAAACUCCUUUCGCUAGGGACGAAGCGAAAGUGACGGUACCUGGAGAAGAAGCGCCGGCUAACUACGUG
rnacentral:rRNA from 1 species